UUCUCUUGUUCUCUCCUCUUCUGGUUUGAUGACUAUCUUUAGUGUUGUAUUGAAGUUCAUUUUUCUUAUUUGUUUGUGUAUCAAUUGUAGAUGUUUGUUUUGCAGUUAUUCUGAAGUUUUGAUAUAAGGGUAUAUAUAUAUAUAUACAUAUAUAUAUAUAUGAGAUUGUUUUAAGUUGUUGGUCUCUUAAUUCCAAGUGCAUCUCCAGUGUCCUGCAUUUGUGCCCACCUCUUCUCAUGAUUUCUGAUUUUUGUGGCAUAAUUGUGCAUGGAUGAUUUUGUAUCUUUACUGUAUAUAUACCUUUACUGGUAAGCCUUGUCAUUUGUGGUAUUUUUGUUUCCUGUAAUGGCCUUUUGUUUUCUGCCCAGAGAAGUUUCUUCAAUAUUUGUUGUAAAGCUGGUUUACUGUUGCUGAAUUCUCUUAGCUUUUGCUUAUUUAUGAAGGUUUUGAUUUCUCCUUCAAAUCUGAAUGAGAGCCUUGCUGGGUAAAGUAAUCAUAGUUGGAGGUUUUUUCCUUUCAUCACGUUAAGUAUAUCAUGCCACUCCCUUCUGGCUUGCAGAGUUUCUGUUGAAAAAUCUGCUGAUAACCUUAUAUGUUCCCUUGUAUGUUGUUUGUUUCUUUUCCCUAGCUGCUUUUGAGAUUUUCUCUUUGUCUUUAAUUUUGGUCAGUUUGAUUAAUGUGUCUCAGGGUGUUCCUCCUGGGGUUUAUUUUAUAUGGUACUCAUUGCACUUUCUGGAUUUGAGUGAGUGGUUCCUUUCCCAUGUUACGGAAGUUUUCAGCUAUUUUCUCUUCAAAUAUUUUUUCUGUCCCUUUUUCUCUCUUCUCCUUCUGGCACCUCUAUAAUAUGGGUGUUGGUGCAUUUAUCAUUGUUCCAGAGUUCUCUGAGACUCUCUUCAUUUGUUUUCAAUCUUUUUUCUCUUUUCUGUUCCGCAUCCAUAAUUUCUACUAAUCUGUCCUCCACCUUGCUUAUUCGUUCUUCUGCCUCCUGUAUUCUGCUGUUAGCUGCCUCUAGUGAAUUUAUUUCAGUUAUUGUAUUUUGCAUCUCUGCUUUCUUAAGUUUUAUAUCUUGUAUGUCUUUGUGUUUCCUGUAAGUUAUCCAUCUUUGCCUGCAGUUUAUUUCCAAUGUCUUGCAUCAUCUUCAGCAUCAACAGUCUAAAAUCUUUUUCCUGGAGGCUGAGAAUCUCAUCACUUAGAUGGUUUUUUGGGGUCUUUUUCUUUCUCCCUCAUCUGAGUUAUAGUUCUUUGUCUUUUCACUUUGAUAGGUUUUUGGUGUGGUGACCUUUUUACAGAUAGUAGAGUUGUAGCCUCUCUUACUUCUGGUGUCUGCCCUCCUUGUGGCUGAAGUUGGUACAAGGGCUUGCUGCAGGCUUCCUGAUGGGAGGGACUGAUGCCUGCCCACUGGUAGGUGGAGCUGAUUCCUAUCCCUCUGCUGGGUGGAGCUUUAUCUCUGGGUGAAAUUAGAGGGGGUUGUGUGUCUGGAGGGCCUUUAGGCAGCCUGUUUACUGAUGGGCAGGGCUGUGAUCCCACCUGGGUUGUUGUGUGCCCUGGGGUUUCUCAGCUGAUGGGUGGGGUCUGAUUUUCCUAAAAUGUCCACCUCCAGAGAAAGCCAUGCUGCUGAAUAUUCCUGAGAGCUUUGCUUCCAAUGUCCUUUCCCCACAAUACACCCCUGUUUCACCAGGAGGUCCUCCAAGAACUGCAGUCAGGUUUGACCCAGAUUCCUAUGGAGCCCUUGCUUUGCCCUGGGACCCAGUGCAUGGGAAAGUCUGUGUGUGCCUUUUAAGAAUGGGGUGUCUGUUUCCCCCAGUCCCGUGGAGCUCCUGUGCACAGCCCCACUGGCCUUUAAUGCCAGAUGCUCUGUUGGCUCUUUCUCCCAGUGCCAGAUCCCUACACAUGGGAGUUUGAUGUUGGGUUCAGAACUCUCACUCCUGUAGGUGAGUCUCUGUGAACCAAUUACUUUCCAGUCUGUAGUGCUUCCCACCUGGGAGGUAUGAGGAUGCUUAUAUCAUGUAAAAUCCCCUCCUACCUCUUGAUGUGGCCUCUUCUUUGUCUCCUGGAGGAGGAUAUCUUUUUGAAAGUUUCUGGUCCAUUUGGUUGGAGAUUGCUCAGCAUUUAGUUGUAAAUUUUGUUGUUUUUAGGAGCAAAAUUGAGCUCCAGUCCUUCUAUUCAGCCAUCUUAAUCCCAUCAAGGUCUUUUUAUACUAGAGUAAACUGUUGGGUUAUCAUCUUCUAGCUGCCAAUGGCUACUAUUGCCAUCGCCUAAGAGGAGGCUGAAUGAGAAUGGAGCCAAACAGAGGAAAGUAACAGAGCAUGUGCAUGUGCCAUAAUAACCUGUGUCUUAUCUAUAUGGGCUGCUCUAGCAGAAUACCAUCGACUGGGGUCCUUAUGUAGUUUCUCAUGUUCUGACCCUGGCAGAUUUGGUGCCAGAUGAAGACAUAUUCCUGGUUCACAGAUGUGCCACAGGGGCAAGAGAGCUCUCAGGGUCCUUUUUUAUAAGGGCGCUAAUCCUAUUUAAGAGGCUCCACCUUCAUGACCUAAUCAUCUCCCAAAUGACUUUUCUCCUCAUAUCAUCACACUGGGGGUUUAAGAUUUCAACAUCAGAUGCUCCUCUGUGAUUACCAAGUUUGAACUCAUAUUAAUUUAUCUGAUCAUUUUUAAAGGACUCUUACAGGUUAGUUCUCUCAUAUGCAUUUUCACUUCUAAAAUACCAUCACACAUUUAUGAAAAAUAAAUGGUCUUACCAGCUAGAUUCCAAAGUGAGAAAAAGGUUUCCUUUGUCUGAAUAUAAUCUCAAAAAGAUAAUUUUCCUAUCAAAUGUGUGUGGAAUAAAGCAAAUUUAAAGUGACUUAAAUUUUAAAAUAAAAUAUUAAAUAUAUUUAAAUAAUUUAAAAAAUUACCCUACAAUUAAUGUGUUGAAAGAUUUUAAAAAAUUAAUUGUAAAGGUUCAGCCACACCAUGUUGCAUGUUUUCUCAUGAAUAUUAUAGCUAUAUUUCUAGAUAAUAAUAUUCGAUUCAUUUUUCCUAAGAUUUUUAUGUAGCUGAGCUAGUUUUUGGGAGGAUUACUUCACAAAAUUGUGUAAGAACAGAACAACUGGCAUAGAAAGAUAUAUGAAUCAAGAAAAAAUACCCAAAGCCAAUGUUAUAACUAGUCAUAUAUCACUUAUACACAUGAACAUCUUUUUCUGGACCCAUGGAAUAACAAAACUGAUGGAGCAUUUCAAAGCUUUCUACCUUCAAAUUCUCAAAAGAAAAAUCAGGAAAGCAAACUUGUCAUUACCUGCCAUAGACAAGCCUGCAGUAAGUUGCUUUGGUCCCAGCCAUUUCGUACAUUUUUAGUUUGGAAAAGCAGAAAAUUCCUAACCAGGUACUGUUAAUCAACCCCCCUCCCUUUAUUUAUGUAUGACACAAUUCCUAAAACACAUUUUCUGAUAAAAACUUUUUAAGGAUCUCUAAUAGUGAGCUACUUGUUUUAGAUUAACUUUUCCCCUCCCUUUGUCUUUCCUCUUCUGACCCACUUCUUUCUCUCUCCUCCUCUCUCCCCUCCCCCUCCCCUCCCC
rnacentral:lncRNA from 1 species